rnacentral:lncRNA from 1 species
GAAAAUCUAAGGCCUGCACCCGAAGCCACACAAAUCCUCUCCCUUCUACCUUCAGUCGGACGCCCCCACCCUUUGUAAUUAAUUUUCUUCUUUCCCCUCAUAAAUCAACCCCACGGCCUCCCUUUUCCUCCAACAAAAAGGAACCGAACAGCCCCUCACAGCUCCUCUCUCGAUUCCACUUUCUCCCCAACGCAACCCAUCUCCUGCAACCUUUUCUUCCUCUGUUUUUUCCCCAAAACCGUUCCCCUGCUUUGUGAUUUUUGCUCCAAAAGCCAGCCGGUUGCGCCCCUCCUCUAGUCGGCGUUCUUCCUCGCGGCCAAGGGAACACCGCCGCCCACAGACCAGUCACCAGCAACUCAGGUCGUCGCCAG